rnacentral:lncRNA from 1 species
AAGAGGAGGCUUGAGAGAAUAAGUUACUUAGCACAAAAUUAAUAUCAAACUCUUAGAAUGAUGGUGUAACUGAUUUUGGUCAUGAGAGGUUCCUUUUAUAGUGCUAGGGUUACAUCUUUGCAAACCCUAAUGACCUUUCAUAUUACUUAGGCUCCAUGGGUUAAAAUUGUUGGAUAUAGUGUCUAAGCCCAUAACUAUAUUUGGUAUGUACUUGACCCGACCCGGCAUGGUCCAUUUGGGUUGCACUUCACCCGAACAAUUUAUGGAUAAUAUUUGAGAAUAGUACAAGUUAUGAUUUAUUAAUAUAUUAUAAGUUCUAAUAUAUUAAUAUAAGAUCAUAUUAUUUAAUUAGUAGUGAUCUAUAAUUAAUCUAGGAUUAAUUUAGUGAUCAAAGAUAUUACUAAUUAAAUAUGGGCUUCUAUAUUUAUAUAGUGUGGGCUAAUGCUUAUUUAGAAUGGGCUAGGCUUGGAUGGAAAAGUCCAUGGAUACUCCAUGGAGCUUUGACCCAUGGAUCUCAUGGAAAUGAAGAGACAUGGGUAUUAGGGUUUACAUGGAUGUAACCCUAAUCCACCACACUAUAUAAAGGAGGCUUUGGUUCUUGAAAUCAUACUAGUUGACACUUGUUGAGGUGAGGCCGAUUUCAAGAUAGUAGUAUUUAUUCUCUCAAAGUUCCAAGUUUGUGGUGAUUUGUGACUUUCAUUUGAGGCAUCCACAUUAUUGGUGCUAGGCUCUAAAACUCCAAGCAAUCAACUACAACUUCAAGGUAAGCAUUUCUACUAGCUUUAUUUGAUUCAUGUUCCCCAUGCCAUGCUAGUUAAGAUAUGAACCUUGGAAAAAUAAUUAUUUGCAUGUAUCUUAGACAAACAUAGAUCCAAGGUUUAUUAGGGUUGCAUGUACACUUAGGAAGUGUUAGAAUGCUCAAAACCCAUCAGUGGUAUCAGAGCCUAGGCUUGUUUGUUUGUUAUUUGUGCUUAAAAGUUGAAGAAAGUCGAAAAUUCUGCUGUCUGACUGAUGGACUCGGCGAGUCCAUGGGGAGGACUCGUCGAGUUCAUGUGUAUCUUCAACCUACUCGGCGAGUAGGUUUAUGCACUCGGCGAGUAGGGUCGACAGAGUGCAGAAUUUCGACUUGAGUUGCUGGAAAUGGAUUAGAAUCAUUACCCUAAAAUGUUUUGGUACUUGAAAACUUAUUUUAGAAGGUGUAAUGUCUUUUCUAACUCAUUUACAACAACUAGUUAUCAAAAUUACAAAGAUUAAAUGUGAUUUUGAUUCUUGAAAGUGUUCAUAUUCAUAUUCUUGUUCUUAUGAUGUUUAGAUGAUCAUAGGAAUUAUUUGUAACCUAUGUGGUAGAUUAAUUCAUGAUCAUAAUGUGUUUUAAUGGAGUCCAUAACUUGUCCUCAAGUUAUGGAAAACCAAAAGUCUCUUGGAUUAAAAACCAUUAAAAGAACACAAGAGUUAGGAAAAAUGAAAAGUCCUCAUUUUAUUACUCUAUUAAACUCAUAAGUUACAAGAAAUGAAAAGUUUUGAAAGUUUACAAAACUUGCCCUCAAGUUUUGGAACAAGUAAAGUUAAGUUAAAACUUUAGUUCCAACCCCUAGAAUUUUAAAAGUUAAAAUUCAACCCUUAUACUUAUAUUAUUAUGAUUUAAUAAUUAUAUAUAUAUGUAUAAGAACAAAGUCGUCUUACCGCUAGUACGCCUCAUUCACGAAGCCGGUCUAUAAGGUGGGUAUAAGGUUGUUGCCUAUAAAAUGGUGACUUAAUGGGUGUCCACUCUCACCCACCGCUUGCUUGAUCGGUGGAGGGUCGUUAGCCGAACGGGUAAGACAAGGACUUAUUAAUUCUCAUUCAAAGUAUGAUGAAUAUUAUAAAGUAACUAAAUGUUUUAUUAAAUUCCCAAUCUUAGUUACUUUAGGAAAAAUGUGAAUAAGGUGCUAUUCCAUGAAAUUACACUUUACACUUUGAUUAAGUCGUUGGUGGAGCGUGUGUGGUUAACCGGCACACUAACUUGGACUUAACAAGGUAGGUAAAGGGUGACUUAGGGUUUAUUAUAGUAUCGAUGGAGCGUGUGUGGUUAACCGGCACAUCGAUUGAGUGAUAAACUUUAAGGGUACCAAGUGAUUUGCAUGGUUACUUCACACCUCGUUUUGUGAUCCUCGGUAUCCCAGUCACAAAACUUGGAGGGCACACUCGAGAUUGAAACAUGCCUUUGAAAAGUUCAUUGAAUCUCAAAGAAUCUAGGAAUUUCUAAGAACCAUUCAAAAACCUAAUACUAAAAUAUUGCGGUUUUCGUGGUGGAAAUUGGUGAAUCGUCAUUCACCUACCUUUCAAAUAUGAUAUAGCUUAGAUUACGGCAUACCUCUUCUAAGUUAUAUUAUAUUGUGAUUGGAUCCUAGCCUUAAUAUUACAUUUGGGUGUUUUAUUAAGGACUCUCUUAUAUCUAAACUAAUCUUGUCCUCUUUCCUUCAGAUGUCUUUCAACAAUGCUUCUGGCUCUAAUCCUAAUGGCUCCUUUACCCUUAUGAACUUGUGUGGGAAAGUCACCUUUGAUGGAUCCAACUUCAAUGAGUGGAUCAGAAACAUCAGGAUGAUUACCCGCUACGAGGACAAAGAAUAUGUCCUUGACAAGGAGCUUAAGGAGAUUGAUGAGUCCACUGCAACUCCUCAGGAGAUCGCUGAAUUUCGGGCACAUGAAAGGGAUGCUACGAAAGUGGCUUGCAUCAUGAUGGCCACGAUGACAGCGGAACUCCAAAAGUCUUAUGAGGAUUUCUACCCUUAUGACAUGCACCAAGAUUUGAUGGAAAGAUACCAUCAAAGUGCAAGACAAGAGAGGUAUGAAAUCAUCUGCUCCAUGAUAACAACCAUGAUGAAGGACGGGGAAUCCGUCACGAGCCACAUGCAGAAAAUGCAAAGGUAUGUGGAUCGUUUGCUGAAGCUUAAUGUGAACUUCCCGGAGGAUCUUGCAAUAGAUAUUAUUUUGCAUUCCUUACCAUCGUGCUAUGAUCAAUUCCGCAUGACAUAUCACAUGAACAAGGAAGAAGUCACCCUCAGCAAACUUCAGGGACUUCUCAAGACCGCAGAAACAGGUCUUAAGGGGAAGUCGGUUGCUAUCACUCCUACUCAAAACUCUACUCCGGUUUUGGCAAUCGGGAAAAGUCGAGGGAGGAAGAGAAAGAGCUCUUCUAAGGGUACCAAGGCUCGGACCCUUGAUGGCUCUUCUUCAAGUGGAACCAAGAAAGGUUUCAUUACUCCUUCUUCUGACCCAAAAGAGGCUGAAUGCUUCUAUUGCCAUGAAAAAGCUCAUUGGAAGCGGAACUGCCCAAAAUACCAGCAAGAUGUGAAGGAUGGGAAAGUUAAACCCAACCAUGCAGGUAUUUACACUAUCAUUUCUAAUAACUCACCCCAUUCUAAUUCUUGGGUCCUUGAUACCGGGUGUGGUAUUCACAUUUGUUGUGACUUGCAGGGACUAAGAAGAAGUGAGGAUGUGGAGCAAGGAAGGAUAAACUUGAUCAUGGGGAAUAGGAAAGCUAUACCUGUUACCAAGAUUGGAGUUUAUACUUUAUCGCUAAGUAGUGGGUUUAGUUUAGAUUUGAAUAAGUGUUGUUAUUCGCCAGGAAUGGCAAGAAAUAUUAUUUCCUUUCAUGCUUUGUACAAACAAGGGUUUACCUUUUCAUUUAAUAAUGAAGUUGGUUCUAUAGAUGUUUUCUAUAAUAAUGUCUUUUAUUUUAAAGCAUUACCUUGUGAUGGUGUGUAUGAAGCUGUAUCUGUUGUAGAUAACUUGGGAAAUAAUGUUUUGUGUAUUGAUUCUACUAAUAAUAACUUGGAUAAAGCAUCAUUAUGGCAUUGUCGUCUUGGACAUAUAAGCAAGAAACGCAUAGGCCAACUCCAAAAGGAUGGAGUCUUGGAGUCGUUUGACCUAAAGUCAGAUGAUAGUUGCGAAUCAUGCUUACUUGGAAAAAUGACAAAGUCACCCUUCACAGGUUCGUGUGAGAGGGGUGAAGGUUUGUUGGACCUUAUACACACGGAUGUGUGUGGACCAUUCAAACAUGCCACAAGGGAUGCUAAUCGUUAUUAUUUGACUUUUACUGAUGAUUAUAGUAGAUAUGGAUAUGUCUACUUAAUCAAGCAUAAGUCAGAGACUUUCGAGAGGUUUAAGGAAUUUAAACAGGAAGUCGAGAAUCAAUUGGGCAGGAACAUUAAGAUGCUUCGAUCCGAUCGAGGUGGUGAGUAUCUUAGUUCAGAGUUCCUCGACUAUCUUAGGGAAUGUGGGAUAGUCUCACAAUUGACACCUCCCAGGACACCACAGUUGAAUGGUGUGGCUGAGAGGCGUAAUCGAACCUUGUUGGAUAUGGUUCGUUCCAUGAUGAGUCGAGCUACGCUACCAAUCUCAUUCUGGGGGUAUGCCUUAGAGACUGCCGCCCAUAUUCUUAAUCUAGUCCCUACAAAGAAAGUUGCCAAAACUCCUCACGAGAUGUGGACUGGUAAAGUACCUAAACUAGACCACAUCAAGAUUUGGGGUUGCGAGGCUUUCGUGAGACGCGAGACUCAUGAUAAGCUCGAACCUCGAAGCGAGAGGUGUAUUUUCAUCGGUUACCCACAGCGAUCCUUUGGUUACCUCUUCUACAGACCUAGUGACAAUGUGGUCUUUGUAGCAAGAAGAGGAGUCUUUCGAGAGAGAGAAUUUAUAAGCCAAGGAGACAGUGGGAGGCAAAUUGAUCUUGAAGAAAUUCAAGAAUCAAGCGGUGAAGGAACUUCAAACACUAGCCCUCAACUUGAGGAGGAAACUCCUGUUGAGCCAGUUGAUGAGCCUGUACCUCUGAGGCGUUCCACGAGAGUUAGGAAUGCACCUGAGCAUUACUAUGGUUUCCAUAUUACUGCGGAAGGUGAGACACUUAUUAGUGAUGAGACACUAGUAGGUCUGGAUGAACCUAACAGCUACAUGGAAGCCAUGGCAGGCCCUGAGGCUGCUAAAUGGAAAGAGGCCAUGGAUAGCGAGAUACAAUCCAUGUAUGACAAUCAAGUUUGGAACUUGGUUGAGAAUGUACCAGGUCGUAAGACUGUAGGGUGCAAAUGGGUCUUCAAGAAGAAGACCGACAUGGAUGGUAAAGUACACACUUAUAAGGCGAGACUGGUUGCAAAGGGCUUCUCUCAAAUUCCUGGAGUGGACUAUGAUGAGACCUUUUCUCCAGUAGCCAAGAUUAAGUCUAUUCGGGUUCUGUUAGCCAUAGCUGCAUUUCAUGACUAUGAAAUAUGGCAAAUGGAUGUCAAAACCGCUUUCCUUAAUGGAAAGUUGGCUGAAGAUGUUUACAUGAGUCAGCCAGAGGGUUUUGUCAGCAACGAGUACCCUAAUAGAGUGUGUAAACUCGAGAAAUCCAUUUAUGGAUUGAAACAGGCACCUCGCAGGUGGAAUCUUUGCUUUGAUGAGAAAGUCAAGGAAUUUGGCUUUUCAAGGAGUGAAGAUGAAUCUUGCGUCUAUAUCAAGGCUAGUGGGAGCAUAGUCAGUUUUUUGGUACUGUAUGUGGAUGACAUACUACUCAUAGGAAAUGACAUCCCAACCCUGCAGGAAGUAAAGUCCUGGCUUGGGAAGUGUUUCGCUAUGAAGGACCUUGGUGAAGCUGCCUAUAUCCUAGGGAUAAAGAUUUUGAGAAACAGGAGUAAAAGACUAAUUGGACUUAGUCAAAGUACCUACUUGGACAAAGUGUUGAAAAGAUUCAACAUGCAUAACUCCAAGAAAGGUGAGUUACCCAUUCAGAGUAACGCCAGAUUGAGUAAGACACAAAGCCCUAGUACUGAGGCUGAGAUAGCAGAAAUGAGUCGACUUCCUUAUGCUUCAGCUGUAGGAUCGAUCAUGUAUGCUAUGACGUGUACUCGACCUGAUGUAGCCUUUGCUUUGAGCAUGGUUAGCAGGUAUCAGGCGAACCCUGGCAAGGAACACUGGACUGCGGUAAAGAAUAUCCUCAAGUACCUGCGAAGGACUAAGGACUGGGUCCUUACCUUCGGUGGGAGUGAUGACUUGAGAGUUGUAGGGUAUAGUGAUGCUAGCUUCCAGACUGAUAGGGAUAAUUUCCGCUCUCAGUCAGGCUGGGUCUUUACCCUAAACGGAGGAGCAAUUUCUUGGAAGAGUUCCAAGCAGGAGACAGUGGCUGAUUCCACUUGUGAAUCAGAGUAUAUAGCAGCAAGCGAGGCAGCAAAGGAGGCUAUAUGGCUAAAGAACUUCAUCGGAGACCUUGGAGUUGUACCAGCUAUAAAAGAGCCAAUGGAGAUUUUCUGUGACAGCAAUAGUGCGGUUGCCUUAGCCAAGGAACCAAGGGAUCACGGGAGAUCCAGACACAUCGACAGAAAAUACCAUUUUAUCAGACAUCGAAUUGAAGAAGGACUCCUCAUGGCGAAGAGGGUAUCAUCGGAUGAGAACCCGGCAGAUCCCCUCACGAAGGGACUGAGUAGGGUUAAGCAUCUCCAGCAUGCUCGGAGCAUAGGGCUGAAGGAUGAUAUAAGUUUUAGUAGUUAGAUAACCCAGAAAUUUGUAAAGUGUAAUUGACAUUUGAUGAUGAAUAAAAGGUGUUUUAUUUAUGAGUAAAGUGUUGCUAUCUCUUGUCGAUCUUUUACUAUAUUUCUUUUGCAUGUUUUGACUUCCAGAAUAAUUAUGUUUGGUAUAUCAUAUUAUUCAAACCUCCACAGUCGGUCAUAUGUCGGAAGUAGGUAUGAAUCAAGACUGUCAUGAUUGGUUGCAGAGGUCUAAGGUGUUGGACAAGGCUACAACAAUCAUGAGUGCUCAUAAGUUCUGAGCAUUGGACUCAACCCACGCUCACUGGAAUCACUUCAUGGAAUUUUAUCUCGAGUGAUCGUGAGACGGUAAUAUCAUAUAAGUCUUCAAACCUAGAGAUAUGAUUUGUUACUUACGAGUUGGUUAUGCAUUGAUUGUACGAAAACGCAUUGGUAACUCGAUGUUAUAAAACGUGCUUUUGUGUGUAAUUCAAUGAGUGGUAGAACAAACAUAUGAGUCGAAGUUUAUCUGUUCCUUCUUGGAUUAGAAGCUGAUAUCUGGGCCACUCGAUGAUUUUGUUUUGACCUAUGUACCGGGCCCGGUCAGAACUAAGUUGAUGUGUUCAAUUAAGUUCUUUGUCAAACAAAUCAGAAAUCGGGAAACAAACUGCUGGACAAUAAGUAAGACAAUGUUCCAUGUAUUUGUCCGGCUGAUAUCUAGAACAGAGGAUUAUAUGAUCACUUAUCUAAAUGGCGCGUUCUAGUUCAACAGAGUUUAAAGAGCUACGAUUGCUGAUCGGUUCCUGAAGUUAUACUUGCAAAUAUAGUUACUAGACUUAUCCAAGUGGGAGACUGUUGGAUAUAGUGUCUAAGCCCAUAACUAUAUUUGGUAUGUACUUGACCCGACCCGGCAUGGUCCAUUUGGGUUGCACUUCACCCGAACAAUUUAUGGAUAAUAUUUGAGAAUAGUACAAGUUAUGAUUUAUUAAUAUAUUAUAAGUUCUAAUAUAUUAAUAUAAGAUCAUAUUAUUUAAUUAGUAGUGAUCUAUAAUUAAUCUAGGAUUAAUUUAGUGAUCAAAGAUAUUACUAAUUAAAUAUGGGCUUCUAUAUUUAUAUUGUGUGGGCUAAUGCUUAUUUAGAAUGGGCUAGGCUUGGAUGGAAAAGUCCAUGGAUACUCCAUGGAGCUUUGACCCAUGGAUCUCAUGGAAAUGAAGAGACAUGGGUAUUAGGGUUUACAUGGAUGUAACCCUAAUCCACCACACUAUAUAAAGGAGGCUUUGGUUCUUGAAAUCAUACUAGUUGACACUUGUUGAGGUGAGGCCGAUUUCAAGAUAGUAGUAUUUAUUCUCUCAAAGUUCCAAGUUUGUGGUGAUUUGUGAUUUCCACUUGAGGCAUCCACACUAUUGGUGCUAGGCUCUAAAACUCCAAGCAAUCAACUACAACUUCAAGGUAAGCAUUUCUACUAGCUUUAUUUGAUUCAUGUUCCCCAUGCCAUGCUAGUUAGGAUAUGAACCUUGGAAAAAUAAUUAUUUGCAUGUAUCUUAGAAAAACAUAGAUCCAAGGUUUAUUAGGGUUGCAGUACACUUAGGAAGUGUUAGAAUGCUCAAAACCCAACAAAAAUCUCCAUGGACUAUCCCUGGACUAUCACAUUAGUUUAGCCCAUCCUAAAUAACCAUUGAUCAUUGGCCCACACUAAAAGAAUCAUCGAUUUACAUAAUCAAUCCCCAUAUAUUAAUUAGUCUUUUUUAUCACAAAAUUAAUUCCAAAUUAAUUCUUGAUCAAUACUAGUUAAAUAAUAUGAUUUCAUAUUAAUAUAUUAUACUUGUAAUAUACUAAUAAAUC